UAAGGAAUAUUGGUCAAUGGACGCAAGUCUGACGCAGCAACGCCGCGUGCGGGAUGAAGGCCUUCGGGCUGUAAACCGCUUUCAGCAGGAACGAAAAUGACGGUACCUGCAGAAGAAGGAGCGGCCAACUACGUGCCAGCAGCCGCGGUGACACGUAGGCUCCAAGCGUUGUCCGGAUUUAUUGGGCGUAAAGAGCUCGUAGGCGGUUGAGUAAGUCGGGUGUGAAAACUCUGGGCUUAACCCGGAGAGGCCAUCCGAUACUGCUCUGACUAGAGUUCAGGAGGGGAGUGGGGAAUUCCUAGUGUAGCGGUGAAAUGCGCAGAUAUUAGGAGGAACACCGGUGGCGAAGGCGCCACUCUGGACUGAAACUGACGCUGAGGAGCGAAAGCAUGGGUAGCAAACAGG
rnacentral:rRNA from 1 species